GUGCUAUGGGUCCUUUUUUCUAACACUUGCAGAAGAUUUCAGCCCCGGCCACGAUGUUUGCUGUCAGCGGAUGGAAAAGUCUUCCUCAAUUGAUGGUUCAUACCCCAUUCUUCUGAAGUGCUGGUUAUGUUCAAAACUCUGCCAGAAAAGGCAGCUUUUAAAGCCUUAAAGCGAACUCUACAACUGAUAGCUCCUCUGCAUGAUAUCGUGGCCUACCUUGUCAGUUUUGCUAAGCUUGGCAAUUGUCCAGCAUGUUUUGAAUUUCCUCGAAGUCCCAACCCUUUGAGAGGUGACUGGGGAGGAACUGAGGGCAUUGGGUCUGAGCUUCAAGAGCUGCAGAACAUGAUUGACAGCCUCCAGAGCCCCCAAGACCCUAUCCGGGUGGCCCAGGCACUCCUCCUCCGGAGGGAGGUUAUAUUUUUGCAGUUUGACGCUGCAGUAAGGCAUCUCAUCCGAAGAACAUUUUUGGCAGCUGGAAAUGUUCCUGCCUACCAGUCUGUCACAGACGGCAUGUGCCAUGGGCUACCAGCACUGAGCAACUCUCUCAGGAAGAGCAUUUUUGCCUCACAGCUCAGCCUGCCCCAGCCACUGGAUCCACGGAGCCUCCAGGCAUUUGAGCUGUUUCCUUGGAGAGCAUUUCUGGAAGAUGGAGGACCAUUCCCAGUUAUGAGUAACAGCCCAGAUACCCUAGAAUAUAAUAUGCAGCUGUGCCUCUGUGGGCUGAGUGACCGUGACCGCAAGGUGGCUCAUGGAGAACUGGUGGGUGUGCAACUGCUACUGGAAGAUGUUCUGAGUAGCUAUCAUGUGACCAUGGAGGCCCCCCAAAGACAGCAAGCCACACUGGGCAAAAAUACACAGCCAGAUUGGUCCAAAGUGCCAGGAUUCAGAAGUCAGUUCCGAAGCAGCCCAAAGACCUCUGAGCUGCUGGAGGGCCUGUGCGAUGCGGUGAUGUCCUUUGCUUUGCUGAGAUCAUUUCUGAUACUGUGGAAGCAGCUGGAAGUGCUAAAGGAGCACUGGGGCCGACUCAAGCUGCAAGGCCAGGAUAUCAACUCUGUCUCUCUCCACAAACGGUUUUCAGAGCUCUAUGAAACUGACGUUCUCUACCCCAGCAUGAAAGCUAUAGCCAGGCAGAUGGGGAAAGAAGAUGAAUUUGAAGGAUUUAUAGUAAAUAAUCAGUCUGUUCUUCCCCCCAGUGGAGCCUCAGAAGUUGAAAUAAAAACUCACCAACUUCAAAAACUUCUGGAAAAUUGUGAAAUUCAAAUGAUCCAAGAGGUACUAAGAAAAGUUAACAGAGAAAUGACACUGGUUUUAUCAGAAAAGUGCAAGGAGGAGUGUUCUCUCCCUACAGAUCUCUGGAAACACCAAGUCAUGAAAGAAAACUUUUCAGUCUCAAGACCACAAAUAGUUGAAAAAUUUAUACAGAGAUUAAUGUAGAAUUAUCAGGAUGAUGGAGUAGAGAUCACUUUCAGGAAAGAUCACCUUGAGGCCUGCCUCCUUUCCCUGGGUUGUGAUGUGAUGGCAAGAGAAUGCAGCAACUUUGAGACCUACUCCAUGUGCUAUGAGCAUGUGUUGCAUCAUGCUAGGCAGAGGCUCAGCCAGAAAGAGCAAGAAUUAGAUGCUACACAAAGAGGCCAGGGUCCACCUGAAGACAGUGCUGGCCAGAUUGCAGAGCUCAGUCAUGAUAUGAUCAUGGAAAUCACCACUCUGAGAGCCCAACUCACAGACUUGGAAGAAGUGAAUCUGAAUCUCAAGAAGCAGAUUAGAAAAGAAGUCCAAGAAGAAUAUGAAGCAUUAGUCCGAGCUUUGUUUGAGACCUGUUUACACAUAAAAGAGAAGCUGGAUGAUAAUCAGCUUAAUUUGAUCCAGAAAGUGUGUGAGCUCAUCGGUGAAGUGAGAACAGAAGGGAUUGACAAUAUGAAGGACCUAAAGAAAAAAUGGUGCUCUGCCAGCCCCGAUGAAGGAAUGAAAGAAAACCCAGCCAAAGAACAGCUGUGGGCCUUGGAGCAGGACAACUGCAGCCUGGCCAACCUGGUGUGCAAAGUGAGGAGCCUGGGCCGCUGGAGGCUGGCUGUGCAGCAGGCGUGCUUCCAGGCCCAGCUGAGCAGGACAGAGAAGGAAUCUAUUCAAAGUAAAAAAGAGUAUUUGCGCAUCAAGCUGAUGGCAGAGCGAGAAGUGGGUUUAUUUCGUCAGCAGGUCCUGGCUCUCAGGCAGGCCCUGGCCAGGGCACAGGCUGACAGCGCGAGGAUGUGGAAGCAGCAGGACAGCCAGGCUCAACUGCUGAAGGAGUUAGAACAUAGAGUGACCCAGGAAGCUCUCACCCAGCAGCAGCUGCAUUUUAUGAAAACAUCCAGGAUGGAGAAGCUCUUGGAAGAUGUGGGGCAAAAAGAACAGCAACUGCAGCUCCUUAGCAAAGAGGCUGAGAGGGCUUCUAAGCUGGGCCAACUGCAGCAGAAAAAAAUGAAGAGGGACCUCCACCAGAUGAGAAGCCGGCUUGCCCAGGAGCGCAGUGUGAAGCUGGAUGCUCUCCAGCGUGCAGAGGAGCUGCAGGGUCAGCUUCACGAUGCCCAGCGGUCAGCUGUCCCCAUGGGCUCGUCAGGCGACCUUAUAUCCCAGGCUCAAUACUCCCCAACUUCUGCUUCCACAUCAUCCAGAUACUCCCAGCAACGCUUUUUAAAGACUAAUCUCAAAGGCAGUAAAAUAACAAGAUGGAUUCAAAGGCCACAGACUGUACCUAUUAAACACAAAAAAAGAACUGACGAUGUUUUCCUACCCAAUAUGGCAGAAAAUGUUCAACUGACAGCUUUUCAGGUUCAAACAGCUCCAUCCAGAUUCCCAUUUAGAGCUGACUGGUGAUGAUAUCUUCUUUUUCCAACCUUUAUUUCUAUGAGUAUUUGAAUGAAUAAAAAUGACUCCAAAUGCCAUUAAA
ensembl:lncRNA novel transcript